rnacentral:rRNA from 1 species
GACGAACGCUGGCGGCGUGCCUAAUACAUGCAAGUCGAACGCUUCUUUCCUCCCGAGUGCUUGCACUCAAUUGGAAAGAGGAGUGGCGGACGGGUGAGUAACACGUGGGUAACCUACCCAUCAGAGGGGGAUAACACUUGGAAACAGGUGCUAAUACCGCAUAACAGUUUAUGCCGCAUGGCAUAAGAGUGAAAGGCGCUUUCGGGUGUCGCUGAUGGAUGGACCCGCGGUGCAUUAGCUAGUUGGUGAGGUAACGGCUCACCAAGGCCACGAUGCAUAGCCGACCUGAGAGGGUGAUCGGCCACACUGGGACUGAGACACGGCCCAGACUCCUACGGGAGGCAGCAGUAGGGAAUCUUCGGCAAUGGACGAAAGUCUGACCGAGCAACGCCGCGUGAGUGAAGAAGGUUUUCGGAUCGUAAAACUCUGUUGUUAGAGAAGAACAAGGACGUUAGUAACUGAACGUCCCCCGACGGUAUCUAACCAGAAAGCCACGGCUAACUACGU